AUGAGACUCCAUUUGCUUCUCCUUAUUCUCCUUCUUUUUUCAAUUCUCUUAUCCCCAGUAAGAGGUGGUUUGGGUCCUGCGGAAGGUCAUUGUCUCAAUUUGUUUGGUGUUUGCAGAACAGAUGUCUGCAACAUAGUAGAAGAUCAAAUUGGUGCCUGCCGAAGAAGGAUGAAGUGCUGUAGAGCAUGGUGGAUUUUAAUGCCAAUUCCAACACCACUUAUCAUGUCAGAUUAUCAAGAACCCCUUAAACCUAACUUGAAAUGA
rnacentral:lncRNA from 1 species